rnacentral:tRNA from 1 species
ACGCCUUGUCUCAGGUGGUUAGAGCGCACCCCUGAUAAGGGUGAGGUCGGUGGUUCAAGUCCACUCAGGCCUACCA